GUAAAGAAGAAAAGUGUGGUUAAACAUCCUCUCCCAGGUGUAGCUACGUCACUAUCCAGAGCGAUCGUCACAUAUAACGUAGCACAUGAUGUUCCACACAAUAUCCUUACAGAAAUGAUGGGCUAGAUCUCGGACAACAAUACUGACAACGAGGUUUGAGAGAACUCCUUUAAACCACUCAUCAAGCAAUUCUUCAAGGAAUUGAUUACCCUGAAUUCGUUGGUCGAGUGCGAUAUCAUAAAUACUUUAUUUUAUUUUUUGAAAGAAAAAUUUUAUACCCGGCCCGACAUGUGCAUGCAUAAGUUCACCAUCUUGCCAAUUGGUGUAACGAGUCACUUUAAUGCUCGUGGCGGGGUAUUUAAACGAAUAAAGAAUAAGACACUUCUGGAGGCUACCCUAGCAUGGGAAGAUGAAGACACGUAUAAGGACUACGUCACUGAUAGAUUCGAUGUCAAAUGGGCAGAUGCGGAUUUUGUUUAUACGGCGAUGAAUAUCAGUGACCAUUGAAUGGUCCUUGCAAUGGACAUUAACAGAGGCCACAUAUUCGUAUUCAAUUCACUUCCGUCAUACACACCAAUGACAAAGCUGGUGAAUUGGCUAGGGCCAUUGACGGUCACAGUAUCAUCCUUACUUCACUACUGUGACGUGGAUUGUUCAAAAUCGAAUCUAUCCACAGCCCGUUGAAAAAUCUCGCGACCUAUGAAUGUCGACAUACAACACGGGUCGCUUGAUUGUGGCAUAUUCGCAAUCAAAUUACUAAAACACUUGGUGACUGGUGCUGAUCCGUUCAUAAUCACUUAGGAGAAGAUGAGUGAAUAUAGGAUGCAGUUAACGUGUCAACUAUGGGCAAACACUCCAUAUUUUUUAUGUGUAUAUAACAUUUAUUUUUUAUUGUAUUUUUUUAUGUAUGUAAAAACAUUUAUUUUUUAUGUGUAAAAACAUUUAUUUUUUAUGUGUAAAAACAUUUAUUUUUU